UCUCCGUAGGUGAACCUGCGGAGGGAUCAUUACCGAGUUCAUGCCCUACCGGGUAGAUCUCCCACCCCAUGUUAUUAUUACUUUGUUUCUUGGCCGGGGCGUUAGGCGCCGGCCCGACUACCCGCCCCGGCGGGUCAGCGCCCGCCAGAGGACCCAAAACCCUGAAUAUUAGUGUCGUCUGAGUCCGAUAUAAUAAUUAAAACUUUCAACAACGGAUCUCUUGGUUCUG
rnacentral:misc_RNA from 1 species